UGGGGAAUAUUGCACAAUGGGCGCAAGCCUGAUGCAGCCAUGCCGCGUGUGUGAAGAAGGCCUUCGGGUUGUAAAGCACUUUCAGCGAGGAGGAAGGUGGUGAGCUUAAUACGCUCAUCAAUUGACGUUACUCGCAGAAGAAGCACCGGCUAACUCCGUGCCAGCAGCCGCGGUAAUACGGAGGGUGCAAGCGUUAAUCGGAAUUACUGGGCGUAAAGCGCACGCAGGCGGUUUGUUAAGUCAGAUGUGAAAUCCCCGGGCUCAACCUGGGGACUGCAUUUGAAACUGGCAAGCUAGAGUCUCGUAGAGGGGGGUAGAAUUCCAGGUGUAGCGGUGAAAUGCGUAGAGAUCUGGAGGAAUACCGGUGGCGAAGGCGGCCCCCUGGACGAAGACUGACGCUCAGGUGCGAAAGCGUGGGGCAGCAAACAGGAUUAGAUACCCUGGUAGUCCACGCUGUAAACGAUGUCGAUUUUGGAGGUUGUGCCCUUGAGGCGUGGCUUCCGGAGCUAACGCGUUAAAUCGACCGCCUGGGGAGUACGGCCGCAAGGUUAAAACUCAAAUGAAUUG
rnacentral:rRNA from 1 species